rnacentral:rRNA from 1 species
UACAGAGGUUGCAAACGUUGUUCGGAAUUACUGGGCAUAAAGCGCACGUAGGUGGUCCGCUAAGUCGGAUGUGAAAUUCCCCGGCUCACCCGGGGAACGGCAAUCGAUACUGGCGGGCUUGAGGUCCGGAGGGGUGAGUGGAACUCCUGGUGGAGCGGUGAAAUGCGUAGAUAUCAGGAGGAACACCAGUGGCGAAAGCGGCUCACUGGCCGGAAUCUGACACUGAGGUGCGAAAGCUAGGGUAGCAAACGGG